rnacentral:rRNA from 1 species
UACGAAGGGGGCUAGCGUUGCUCGGAAUCACUGGGCGUAAAGGGUGCGUAGGCGGGUUUUUAAGUCAGGGGUGAAAUCCUGGAGCUCAACUCCAGAACUGCCUUUGAUACUGAGGAUCUUGAGUUCGGGAGAGGUGAGUGGAACUGCGAGUGUAGAGGUGAAAUUCGUAGAUAUUCGCAAGAACACCAGUGGCGAAGGCGGCUCACUGGCCCCGAUACUGACGCUGAGGCACGAAAGCGUGGGGAGCAAACAGGG